rnacentral:rRNA from 1 species
AACGAACGCUGGCGGCAGGCUUAACACAUGCAAGUCGAACGGGUGCAGCAAUGCAUCAGUGGCAGACGGGUGAGUAACACGUGGGAACCUUCCUAGGGGUACGGAACAACUCAGGGAAACUUGAGCUAAUACCGUAUACGUCCGUGAGGAGAAAGAUUUAUCGCCCUUAGACGGGCCCGCGUCGGAUUAGCUAGUUGGUGGGGUAACGGCCUACCAAGGCGACGAUCCGUAGCUGAUCUUAGAGGAUGAUCAGCCACACUGGGACUGAGACACGGCCCAGACUCCUACGGGAGGCAGCAGUGGGGAAUCUUGGACAAUGGGGGCAAGCCUGAUCCAGCCAUGCCGCGUGAGUGAAGAAGGCCUUCGGAUUGUAAAGCUCUUUUGCCAGGGACGAUAAUGACGGUAACCGGAGAAGAAGCCCCGGCUAACUUCGUGCCAGCCGCCGCCGUAACAC